CAGCAGCCGCGGUAAUACGAGGGGUGCAAGCGUUAUUCGGAUUGAUUGGGUGUAAAGGGUGUGCAGACGGCUUAUUAAGUCACUUGUUAAAUUCUUCGGCCUAACUGAAGGUCUGCAAGUGAUACUGAUGAGCUAGAGGGUGGAAGAGAGAAGUGGAAUUCUCGGAGUAGCGGUAAAAUGCGUAGAUCUCGAGAGGAACACCAAUGGCGAAGGCAGCUUCUUGGUCCAUUCCUGACGUUCACACACGAAAGCGUGGGGAGCAAACAGGAUUAGAUACCCGCGUAGUCCCUGUCUCUUAUAC
rnacentral:rRNA from 1 species